GCAGGAGCUGCUGCAGCAGCUUGUGUUUCGUCUUGGAUGGUGCUGCUGCUGAUGGAGGGUGCUUUCCUGCAGCCAGGGGGAUGCAGUGCUUCGUUCCUGUCCCGAGCAUCCCGAGGCAGAGGCUGAUCUCCCAGGAGUUGCAUGGGCCAGGUUUGAAGAACAGCAAAUGGCUGAAGAAUGUGCAAUUUGUGCUGAACAGACACAGAAAGAAGCUCAAUAAUCACAACCAGAAGGACCCUCAGACUCUGAAUCCUAAAGCAUUGUGGCUGCCUGUGCCCACACUUCAAGCUGUGCAUAUGUGGGGCUUGAAGGAUGUGCAGGCAUUCACCUGCUGCUGCUGAAUUUACCACUGAAUUCAUGGAAGGAUCAGGACACUUGAACAAAAAACCUUUUCCACCCUCAGAAGUCACCCAGAUAUACCAGGAGAGAAGGCUUUUAGAGACAGUACAUCCAAGUUUUAGGUCACAAAGCUCUCUUUUAGCAGCAGCAAAGGCACCUCUCAGCCAGAGAGGAAAUCCCAAUUUUGUGGUGUUUCCUGCAAUUGUAAGUUACCAUGUUCCCAGCUCCUGGGGUCAAGAGCCUGCAGUGUGGAAUUGAAGGCACAGGGGAAGGGACCUGAGACACAGAGGGGUGUGGGCAGAAAUGAGCCUCAGCUUGAGAGCUUAGGAGUCAUCUUGGGUCAUUUGAGCCUUCUUGUAACUGGGGAUUCUCUGAGUAAAAACUGACCAAGACUCUUAGCUGAGUUACUAAACCUUCUGUGGAAACCAUUCUCUUCACUUAAAAUUCUCACCUUUUACAUUUGUGCUGUGUAAAUGGAAAAGGACAAAUUUAAUCUCCUAUUUUAGUAAUUCUGCAAGACUUAAGACUUGAACAGACACCCAUGCCUGUGCAUAUGCCAUAAACAUUCUUCUUAGCUCUCAAAAACGUCUUUUUAGAGACCAGCUUUUGAAAAAGGGUUUAAAACUCUUGUGUCUCCAACUGCCUCCAGAUCAGAUCCAUGACAUCUGAUUUCUCUCUGCUUACAGAGGCAGAAAAGAAAACUUAUGUUCAGUUUUAGCAAAUUAAUUGUUCCAUGUUGUUUUUUUAAGGUUGAGUUAAAUAAAUAAUGUAUCAGAUGUAGGGGGGACAUAAUUUUUAAAGGGAAUUGAGGAGUACAGCUGCACAGCAGUGAGACAGGGAUGUUUGUUGAUGUUGUUUUCAACAGGAAACAACUCCAUUCAGUGCGUAAGAGUCUAAGCAGACACUGACUGUAAUGGACUGCAGUUACUGGGGGAUAAACUUGUGGUUACCAUAGAGACCCCUUGGCUGUAGUGAAUUAACAUUCCCUAAAUCAGGAGUGCAUCACAGAGUGUGUUAAGACCAGUGCUGCUGUGCUUCCUUUCUGUGUUAUAAUUUCUUAGAUGAACCAGUGGACAGGCAAAGUUCAAGGUUCACAGGAGAGCUGAGCAGUUGCACCAAGUCACCACAUUAAUUAUCAGUAUUUUGCUCAGCAGCACUCUCCAAUUUAGACUUUAAUUGGUACCUCAGGUGAUGCUGUUACUGGGGUUUUGUUACUCUGGGGUGGGUAGGCAACACAAUAAAAACCCGCUGAAAGAAACCUGCAAACCAAAUUUGUGAAAUAACAAUCCAGGCUGCUUCCAUGGAAUCAGUAAAUCAAUCUGACAGAAAUCACUAUGCACAAUGCACUCAGAACUAGGGACACGUUCCUACAAAAGUAUUUGAGUCUGAUUCAUUACAUUGGUCUUAUGAGGGAUGGCUUUGGUCUGUAAAUUCACCUUAUUUGUGCUCAAUGCUGUACAUGGAGUGAAAAACCCAGCAGAGAUUUUAGGAACACACAACAGAGCUACAGCAUUAAAAGAAUAUGAAUAAAGUCACAUGCACUUAUAAUAAUAAAUUUUAUGAAAAGGAGAAAUUAAUUUACAAUUAAGAUUGUCAAAAGAUCCUCCCCACCUAAAAAGAAAAAACACCAAAAAGGAAAAAAAAAAAAAAACACAAAAAACCCAGAAGAAAAUGAUACAUUUUUUUGGGACUAGAGGUGUGAGCAACUGGUGCAGUUAUUAUGUCAGGCCACAUACGAAAAUAUUUCAGAGAGUGUAAACAUAAGCUCAUAUGCACUACAGCUCGGGGUUUGUUACUGCACUGUGUGACAUUAAAAGGUGAAACGCACACUCAGGAGACAAAUGUGCUAAGUGUUAUGGUUUUCCCAGUGUGCAGAGCUGAGAAAAUACGUCAAGUUAGCUAAAUUCUGCACGUUCUGCCUGGCUUCUGUUUUACAAUGCCACCUUACGCUGGCUGGGAUGGGAUAACAAAUGCAGUAUAUUCAGACAACUUUAAAAAUUUGGUUUUAUUUUUUUCUGUUCAGUUUCUUGCACAGGUACAGGUAUAUGUCUGUUCCUCUUCUGCUGUGAAUGCACAAGGAACCCCCUGGGAACAGACAUGGAGCAGAGUUAGUAUUGGAUGUACAAAGUCACCUCCUGUACCAAGAGAUCUUUCCUUCAGCAUUGUUUGCACCUACCUCACACAGGUGUAAAUAGCUACAAAAUCCAUUGGAACGUUACAGACCAACAGAGAUCAAAAUGAGGAAUAAGUCUGGGGAGGAAAAUACUUGGAGGAAAAAAGGAGAUGCAGGAAAACUAUGGUAUUGAAGGGUGGUGGUGAGAUUUAGCUGUGACACUGCACUGCUCUCUACUUUGAUGGCAAGGAACCAUUUUUUCUGAGGAUGAGGAGUAUUUUUUUUUGAACCAGGUUUGUUCCCAAGCUGUGGUGACACAUUGUCACUUGGUUACUCUGCAGCACUUUCUGUCCAGGAGAUACUGGAUGUGCACAGCUGCCAGCUUUAGGUAGCAGUAGUGGUUUGUAACCAAAAAUACAACAAGCACUUGGAAAUUUUGAAAUGAGAAAUAAGAAAACACUCUGAAAAGUCUGCCCAGGACCUGUGCCUGUCCCCUUGGUUCCCAGACAAGCAGGGAGGCUGGGUGGACAAUGGCACCCUCAAGAGGACAUGCAAGUAGGACCAUAGUUUAAUAAUCCAUGUUUUGAAACUGAAUCCCUUAAAGCAACGUCUGCGUUGCUGUUUUCUUUUUCUGACAUGUACUAAAAUUUAGAUACUUCAACACUGUUUAACAAAAAGUAGAAUAUAAAAAUAAUAUUAAUAAUAUUGAUAUGAAUUUUUGAAUGUUGCAGUAUAGGUCAGAAGAAUAAAUUUAUUCCAGUCCAGAAAUAAUCUUUGAUUUCUUUCCCUCCUUUCAGAAAAAGAGAAAUAUUUGUGUUUACACUGAAUGUGUUCAGUAAACAGUUUUAUAUGAUAACCAUGUAAAUCCAUUGUGUACUUUAAGAAGGGGGGAAUUAAUUCUUUUGUUGCCUUUGCAACGAGAAGCAGCAUUUUGCUGACAUAUCUGCCUAA